CCGGCCGGGUGGCCGUCUGGGCGACCCCGGCGCUGGAGACGGCGGUCGCGGUGGUCGCGGCGCUGCUCGCCGGA
rnacentral:tRNA from 3 species